rfam:Callithrix jacchus chromosome 4, whole genome shotgun sequence
ACAAAGGCUCUUUUCAGAGCCAAUUCCUUUAUCCAUGAAAAAAGCU